AUUGAACGCUGGCGGCAGGCCUAACACAUGCAAGUCGAGCGGGAACUUCGGUUCUAGCGGCGGACGGGUGAGUAAUGCGUAGGAAGCUACCCGACAGAGGGGGAUACCAGUUGGAAACGACUGUUAAUACCGCAUAAUGUCUACGGACCAAAGUGUGGGACCUUCGGGCCACAUGCUGUCGGAUGCGCCUACGUGGGAUUAGCUAGUUGGUGAGGUAAUGGCUCACCAAGGCGACGAUCCCUAGCUGGUUUGAGAGGAUGAUCAGCCACACUGGAACGGAGACACGGUCCAGACUCCUACGGGAGGCAGCAGUGGGGAAUAUUGGACAAUGGGCGAAAGCCUGAUCCAGCCAUGCCGCGUGUGUGAAGAAGGCCUUCAGGUUGUAAAGCACUUUCAGUAGGGAGGAAGAGUUGAGUGUUAAUAGUACUCAGCUUUGACGUUACCUACAGAAGAAGCACCGGCUAACUCUGUGCCAGCAGCCGCCGUAAAAC
rnacentral:rRNA from 1 species